UACGAAGGGGGCUAGCGUUGCUCGGAAUCACUGGGCGUAAAGCGCACGUAGGCGGAUUGCUAUGUCAGGGGUGAAAUCCUGGAGCUCAACUCCAGAACUGCCUUUGAUACUGGCGAUCUCGAGUCCGGGAGAGGUGAGUGGAACUGCGAGUGUAGAGGUGAAAUUCGUAGAUAUUCGCAAGAACACCAGUGGCGAAGGCGGCUCACUGGCCCGGUACUGACGCUGAGGUGCGAAAGCGUGGGGAGCAAACAGG
rnacentral:rRNA from 1 species